AUGCCAAAUGCAAGUCGAGCGGACCGACGGGAGCUUGCUCCCUUAGGUCAGCGGCGGACGGGGGAGAAAAGUGGGUAACCUGCCUGUAAGACUGGGAUAACUCCGGGAAACCGGGGCUAAUACCGGAUGCUUGAUUGAACCGCAUGGUUCAAUCAUAAAAGGUGGCUUUUAGCUACCACUUCAGAUGGACCCGCGGCGCAUUAGCUAGUUGGUGAGGUAACGGCUCACCAAGGCGACGAUGCGUAGCCGACCUGAGAGGGUGAUCGGCCACACUGGGACUGAGACACGGCCCAGACUCCUACGGGAGGCAGCAGUAGGGAAUCUUCCCAAUGGACGAAAGUCUGACGGAGCAACGCCGCGUGAGUGAUGAAGGUUUUCGGAUCGUAAAACUCUGUUGUUAGGGAAGAACAAGUACCGUUCGAAUAGGGCGGYACCUUGACGGUACCUAACCAGAAAGCCACGGCUAACUACGUGCCAGCAGCCGCGGUAAUACGUAGGUGGCAAGCGUUGUCCGGAAUUAUUGGGCGUAAAGCGCGCGCAGGCGGUUUCUUAAGUCUGAUGUGAAAGCCCCCGGCUCAACCGGGGAGGGUCAUUGGAAACUGGGGAACUUGAGUGCAGAAGAGGAGAGUGGAAUUCCACGUGUAGCGGUGAAAUGCGUAGAGAUGUGGAGGAACACCAGUGGCGAAGGCGACUCUCUGGUCUGUAACUGACGCUGAGGCGCGAAAGCGUGGGGAGCGAACAGGAUUAGAUACCCUGGUAGUCCACGCCGUAAACGAUGAGUGCUAAGUGUUAGAGGGUUUCCGCCCUUUAGUGCUGCAGCAAACGCAUUAAGCACUCCGCCUGGGGAGUACGGUCGCAAGACUGAAACUCAAAGGAAUUGACGGGGGCCCGCACAAGCGGUGGAGCAUGUGGUUUAAUUCGAAGCAACGCGAAGAACCUUACCAGGUCUUGACAUCCUCUGAAACCCUAGAGAUAGGGCUUCCCCUUUCGGGGGCAGAGUGACAGGUGGUGCAUGGUUGUCGUCAGCUCGUGUCGUGAGAUGUUGGGUUAAGUCCCGCACGAGCGCAACCUUGAUCUAGUKGCAGCAUCAGUGGCACUCUAAGGUGACUGCCGGGUGACAAAACUGAAGGAAGGUG
rnacentral:rRNA from 1 species